rnacentral:rRNA from 1 species
CAGUCGCCACGGGAACACGGAGGGAGCUAGCGUUAUUCGGAAUUACUGGGCGUAAAGCGCACGUAGGCGGCUUUGUAAGUUAGAGGUGAAAGCCUGGAGCUCAACUCCAGAAUUGCCUUUAAGACUGCAUCGCUUGAAUCCAGGAGAGGUGAGUGGAAUUCCGAGUGUAGAGGUGAAAUUCGUAGAUAUUCGGAAGAACACCAGUGGCGAAGGCGGCUCACUGGACUGGUAUUGACGCUGAGGUGCGAAAGCGUGGGGAGCAAACAGGAUUAGAUACCCCUGUAGUACCUGUCUCUUAUAC